UCGGGAAUUUUGGGCAAUGGGCGAAAGCCUGACCCAGCAACGCCGCGUGAAGGAUGAAGUAUUUCGGUAUGUAAACUUCGAAAGAAUAGGAAGAAUAAAUGACGGUACUAUUUAUAAGGUCCGGCUAACUACGUGCCAGCAGCCGCGGUAAUACGUAGGGACCAAGCGUUGUUCGGAUUUACUGGGCGUAAAGGGCGCGUAGGCGGCAAUUCAAGUCAUCUGUGAAAUCUCCGGGCUUAACUCGGAACGGUCAGAUGAUACUGCUUUGCUAGAGUGCAGAAGGGGCAAUCGGAAUUCUUGGUGUAGCGGUGAAAUGCGUAGAUAUCAAGAGGAACACCUGAGGUGAAGACGGGUUGCUGGACUUAUGGUGACGCUGAGACGCGAAAGCGUGGGGAGCAAACAGGAUUAGAUACCCACGUAGUCCCUGAGCGGGCUGGCAAGGCGCAU
rnacentral:rRNA from 1 species